UCCCUCAGAAUGGUUGGAAAUCAUUCGUAGAGUGCAAAGGCAUAAGGGAGCUUGACUGCGAGACCUACAAGUCGAGCAGGGACGAAAGUCGGGCUUAGUGAUCCGGUGGUUCCGCAUGGAAGGGCCAUCGCUCAACGGAUAAAAGCUACCCCGGGGAUAACAGGCUUAUCUCCCCCAAGAGUCCACAUCGACGGGGAGGUUUGGCACCUCGAUGUCGGCUCAUCGCAUCCUGGGGCUGUAGUCGGUCCCAAGGGUUGGGCUGUUCGCCCAUUAAAGCGGUACGCGAGCUGGGUUCAGAACGUCGUGAGACAGUUCGGUCCCUAUCCGUCGUGGGCGUAGGAAAUUUGAGAGGAGCUGUCCUUAGUACGAGAGGACCGGGAUGGACGCACCGCUGGUGUACCAGUUGUUCUGCCAAGGGCAUAGCUGGGUAGCUAUGUGCGGAAGGGAUAAGUGCUGAAAGCAUCUAAGCAUGAAGCCCCCCUCAAGAUGAGAUUUCCCAUAGCGUAAGCUAGUAAGAUCCCUGAAAGAUGAUCAGGUUGAUAGGUUCGAGGUGGAAGCAUGGUGACAUGUGGAGCUGACGAAUACUAAUAGAUCGAGGACUUAACCAU
rnacentral:ncRNA from 1 species